GUCUACAGCCAUGCCACCCUGAACAAGCCCGAUGUCUGAUCCCAGAAGCUAAGUAGGGUCGGGCCUGGUUAGUACUUGGAUGGGAGACCACCUAUGAAGACGAGGUGCUGUAGGUA
rnacentral:rRNA from 1 species